UCUACAUUUAAAAACAGGAGAUCAAAUCGGGUGUGCCUUUCAGAAAGAUACUCAAUUGGAACUGUCCUGAGUGAACACAGAAAUAUAUUUCGAGAAAGGAUUUCCUUGAUUAGUUUCCAUAGACUGAUAAACUGAAAACAAGAAGACUGAAACAAGAACAAAGAGAAGAAUUUUUAUCCACAGGGGAACGGAGCGUUCUUUUUUUGUUGAAGGUUUCUCAGACUUGAUGUCACUUGAGGUACUGUAUUUUGGAGCAUACUUAAAGAAACUUUCAUCCAUUUUGAAGUCAGUGUGCUCGAUAGGCCGGCUAGCAGCUCCUUUGAUUGGUCUACGGCAGCUAGCGCUGAUUCCUGUAGGUGUAGAGACUUCAUAAGGGAACAUUUCCUUAAGAAUAUCCCUUUCUACUUUUCGUUCUUCUGUAUGAGUUCUCUCCGGCACUUCAGCUGUCAUCAGUGGUUUCUUUGGUGUUCUUCUGGGCAUGUCUGAGGGUUCACUGAUUGACAAUGUAGGAGCUGCAUGCUUGAAAUUUCCAGGCACCCUAUUGCCAACCUGGUUGUGCUCAACGACUCUUCUUUGUUUGAGUGUUACUGGAGUCUUCAUCCUGCCUUUCAGAGGUUCUCUCUUCUCAAGCCUCAGCUCAGUCUUUGGCUCUUCUUCAUUGUCACUGUACUGGUCAGAAUCAUUAUUUCCAUUCUGUCUGGUGUUCUCAGUAGUUGAAGAAAUCACUGGGAGAGGCAUAGGUGUCUUCAGUUCUGGACCUUGUUCCAUCAGUUUCAACAGCUUUUUCUCAUAAAGUUUCCUUGUGGUAGCUACAAUUGGGCCAGGAUUUAUUCCAUACUUCAUAAGCUGCUCUUGAAGAUCUUCAUUACUGAGCUCUGUUACAUCUAAGUCAUCCUUUUCCUCUGCCCUGAGUUUGUCAGUUUUCUUUGUGGCUUUCCGUCCGACGGCGGCCCCGCGGCCCCGGGCGCCGAUGGGGGUGGGCUCCCGCUCCUCGUCGCUGGAGAAGUCGGGCUGCGCGACGGCGGGCGGGUUGCGGGCGGUGAGGUGCUGCAGGUAGAGCUGCACGUAGACGUCCUUGCGCUGCUCGCCGCCCGGCAGGCUCACAUUGUUGGCGAUCAGCUCGCUCUUCAGCUUCUCCUUCGUCAGGACCGAGGGGUCCGCCAAGAACUCGGGCAUCGCCGCCGCCCGCCGAGGCACCAACAAAGCGCGGGAGGAGGGGACGCGCUGCCCCGCGCCAGGCACCCAGCUCCACAGCGAGCGGGCGCGCACAGCGAGCGCUCCUCGCAGCCGCCAAUAAACCGCGCCCCGAUUGGCGGGGAGGGGGACGAAGCGGCUCUUCUAUUGGCUGUAGGACGGAAGAGAGGAGAGGCGCGCGGGCUCGGCCAGCGUUAGUGCUUUGCGCGGGGACCAGCAACGCAGUUUAAAUUCGGCUCGGGCGGGAGAGGCGCGGGGUGGUGCCGCCCUGAGGUGCUGGGCGCCGCCCUUCCGCCCUACGCCUCCCUCGUGGUGUGGUCGCCCCGCUGUCCUUCUCGGCGGUGGGGAAUUGAGAAGAGUACCCACAGGAGUUUUAGCGUUUCACAAGUUACCUCGCUGGGAAGGGAGGGCUGAGUUUGAGAUUUAACCCGAAUUAAAUGCUUGAGUUUACGUGCUGCCCGCUGGGAAUGCUCACCGCUGUAAAUUUGCCUGUAUUUUACGAUAAGAGCUGUUCAAAAUUUACAUCUGAUUAUGCACCUUGUGUGUUUGAAGUAUCGGAGAUGGAAAUAAUUGAGUGGCUAUGUAAAUUUAUCCAUCGAUCCCAGAUGUGAAACAGGGUCAUCAGUGUUUAUGCCCACUCCUUCUUAAGAGUUCCAGAAUCGCAGGGUGCCCCGAGCUGAAAGGAUCAUUGAGUCCAACUCCUGAAGGAGUUUCACGCUGUAGUGGGGGAGAUUUCCCUCCGUUUUGGUUCGCUCCGGUCCGCCCGGCCAUCGCCGCAGUGUCAGCUGUGGUACAGCAGUGCCGUUGCUUAGGGCUGCUGCUGUAGAGGGGAAUUUCAAGUGGUCUGUCCACACCAAGGCUGAUGCUUCCCACUGAUGAAUCGGUGCGGUGUAACAAAGCAGUUAAUGCAAGGGAGUAGCUGAGCUUGCAGAAUUUAGUUUACUUUGCAGCAAAACUGAUGAUAUGAGGUGGCUAUCACCUGCUGUUCGUUGUAACCUAUGUGUGAAAGUAUUUCGUUCUUGGUUUUAUACGGAGUAAGUAAUUCCAAAAGUGGUUUAUUUCCAUGGAGAUGACAACAGAUGCAGAGAGUACAAUAAGACUAUUUGAUAGAACAAAUUCUCAUCUAUGAAACCCUAUUUUUCAGCAUAGCCACCACCAUUAGCUAUGCCUUUCACCAACAGUGAACAGGAGGCUGCAUACCACACCUGUUCAAAAUCUUCACUAGCAGAGGUGAUCUGCUGUUCCCACUGCUAAAGUGCACCGCUCACUGCCUCACUGUGCUCACAUCCACUGUUUGGUCUCCAUAAACUCUCACCACGCAUCAGUGAAUGUCAGUAGAUUCCAUUUUUUUUCCACACUGAGGAAUUCAAUGUCAG
rnacentral:lncRNA from 1 species